UAGUACAUUGUUAUGGGAUGAGAUGCUAUAUAUAUAGUCCGUCCCAAAGUGUACAUCUCCUUUGAUAACAAAUUUUAGUAGCAAGUCAGCAUAGACAUACUUUAAGAUGGAAGCAUGUAGUCCGGGACUGGUAGCUAAUCAUUUGAUUAGUUAUUUCUCAAGCAUAUCAAUCAUUAGCUAUAUACAAACUUGCUAUAAUAUAUGAGGAGUUGGAGUGAAACAAAUAAGCUAGGUAUUUUCCUAUACAAGCAGUAUGAAAGUGUCAAUGCAGCCAUGGUGGGAGGCCGACGAGCCAUUCCAAUCAUCCCACUCAUCAACCGACAACAGUGUGACAAUGAGGAGUCGGGCAUACCGUGGUGUCGAAGGCUCGAAGCCGACCCCAAAGUGGAGUCGAAUUGGAGACGAAGUGGUGUCGAAGCCCAAGUGGAGCUCAUGGUCUCUGUCGUGGUUUUGUCACGGCAGAUGUCCUCGUGAAAGGACUUAAAGAUGGAGCCAUCGCACCUUGGUGGCGACUCAAAGGGGUGAGCGAAAGCGAGACUCAGAUUUACCCAGGUUUGGCCCCUCGUGAGGAGGUAAAAGCCUACGUCCUGCUUUGUGUAGAUUGAUGAUGGUUUCGAUUACAAGGAGGACGUAACUCGUCUGACCUAGCUCUCGAUUCUCUCUAACUCGCCUGACCUUUCCCUGGGACUCGCCUUUAUAUACAGGUCGAGGCCCUAGGGUUUACAAAGUCCCGCUAUCCUACACUUGGUAGUCUUCCUUAUCUCUAAGUUGCCGUGCUCCCCACGAACAGGAGCUUCCUUGACGUUCCAUCAUCCGUACGAUCUUCUUGAACCACCCCACAACUCCUGGGCCACUGGAGACAUCGCCAAAGGUGAGUCGUCCCUUUGGUGACCCGGCCCAUUAAGGGCGGGUUACCCACAGGUAACAUCCCCAACAGUCUCUCCAUGCACCCAACGCCUCGACGGACGGCAACGCUUGCAGUGGGACCUGUUGGAGAAGAGGUUUGAUUCUAUAAUGGCGGCGGUGCUCAAAGGACACGAUUGCUUUUUAACUUAUACUCAUAUCGUCGUUGUUGAUCUGACGAGAGGAAGAAGGCGAUGUCAAAGUUUCAGAACAAAAGACAAUGAGAGAGGUGUGUUUUUCAGCAGCUCAAAACUCUGCUCCCUUUUUCUGUUAUUCUGAUCCUCUUCUUAUGCCCUAUUUACAGCAGUCGUUAGGUGAUCUAACUAACUCGUUUUACCCGAUUCGUUGGUCAUUUGCGAGGCUAUUUUAUUCGAGUUUUAUUUUUUCAUUUUAACAUUUAUGUUAAUGCGUGUAAUUUUUCAAAUUCGUAUUUUUAUUCAAAAUUUAUGAUUUUCCUUAUUAAAAAAAUUAGAUGAACUUUUCUGACAAAUGGUGAACUCUUUUAAAAUUUGAUGAACUUUUUUCAAAAUUUGAUGAACUGUUUUGGAAUUUGAUGAACUUUUUUAAAAUUUCGAUGAACUUUUUAAAUGAUUUCUGUUACUUUUUGUACGAAAAUGACCGUGAAACUGGGCCGGCCCAAUUUCCUGGGCGCCCACGCGCCAGUUCUCCUAGCGGGCGCUUAAGGCGCCGACUAGCUAGGAGCUCGUCAUUUAGGUCAAUCAAAAAAAAAAGAGCUCCUCAUUUAGAGUACUAGCGAUCUUUUUUUCUUUCCAAUCCCUGUAGCGAUCGUACAUAGCAUGAGGAUUUCAAUCCCUAUCGUUCCAUGGCCAUUUUAGCAGCGAGACCAUCGCCAAACGGCCGAGUAGCUCUAAAUUGUUUUAACACUAGGCCUAUAUAGAAAUUCUGGGGCGCCUGUGCAUGUCCGCGCUGCAGCUAGCUAGCACAGGAAUAUGAUGGCAUGUUGGGGAAGAAGAUGGAGUAGCUGCUUUCAGAUUCGCGGAUCGAUCCACCUUUUUCUUGCUUCUCUUGCGUCUGAAUUCCAUGAUGAAAUUUCAAAGAGCCUGGUAACGUCAUAUCAAUGGAAUGGGUCGUUCUGCUCGCUCCGAACGGCUCCUAGCUACCAGAAAAAAGGGAAAGUAGUGCUUGUACGUACCCAUCUUUGGUGCACCCACGAAAGAACCUUUGUGAAAAUGAUCAUCAACGAAAGUUAUGAACACUUGAAUAGUUUGGUGGUCAAAUAACAUUUGAGGAGCUUUGUAAAAAAAAACGGAUCCGGAAACCAGCCCCUAUGACCUCCCAGGUGAGGCAACUCGGGUGGGGCGCAGCCGCCAUAUUGGUCAACCCUGCCGUCACCGUUGGACGCCUCCGGUCAAAAACGGCAAGGCAAGAUUUUCAUAACAUGAAUCACAGAACGUCCAAGCUAGCUUGAGUUGGAGUCUAUGGAAGUCGAUAGAGUUAUCUUGGCAUAAUUAUAGGCCAAGCCCGAGGCUAAUAUCAUGUAGGGAAACAUAUUCCCUGUUUGUUUCACUCCAACAUCUCAUACAAACGGUGGAGGAAUAACGGAUGGAUUUGAAAUGAGUGCGGAAUAGAUACUAGCACAAGACCACUUGUUUCUAAAUUUCAGCUAUAUAUAUCUAGCUUACUUACUAUAAUUUGAUAUAUACCAGAGGAAGGAAGAUGUACAUUUUGUGAUGAACUAUAUAUACAUACCAGCCAAAUGAAUGCUACUUAAACAUCCAAUAGGCAUGCAUGCAUGCAAUCAUGAGUAUAUUGUUUGUGGCAUCGGCCGGGCACCAGCCCAAGCAUUUUCUUGGCA
rnacentral:lncRNA from 1 species